UACGAAGGAUUCGAGCGUUAUCCGGAUUUAUUGGGUUUAAAGGGUGCGUAGGUGGACUAAUAAGUCAGUGGUGAAAGCCCGCAGCUUAACUGCGGAACUGCCAUUGAUACUGUUAGUCUUGAGUACAGUUGAGGUGGGCGGAAUGUGUCAUGUAGCGGUGAAAUGCUUAGAUAUGACACAGAACACCGAUUGCGAAGGCAGCUCACUAAACUGUAACUGACGCUGAGGCACGAAAGCGUGGGGAUCAAACAGG
rnacentral:rRNA from 1 species